UACAGAGGUCUCAAGCGUUGUUCGGAUUCAUUGGGCGUAAAGGGUGCGUAGGCGGCGCGGUAAGUCGGGUGUGAAAUCUUGGAGCUUAACUCCGAAACUGCAUUCGAUACUGCCGUGCUUGAGGACUGGAGAGGAGACUGGAAUUUACGGUGUAGCGGUGAAAUGCGUAGAUAUCGUAAGGAAGACCAGUGGCGAAGGCGGCUCACUGGCCCGAUACUGACGCUGAUGCACGAAAGCGUGGGGAGCAAACAGG
rnacentral:rRNA from 1 species